GUCUCCAUAGCUCAACAGGAUAGAGCACCCGCCUCCUAAGCGGGCGAUCCAGGUUCGAGUCCUGGUGGGGACGCCA
rnacentral:tRNA from 1 species